rnacentral:rRNA from 1 species
UACAGAGGGUGCGAGCGUUAAUCGGAAUUACUGGGCGUAAAGCGUGCGUAGACGGUCAAGUAAGUCGGGUGUGAAAGCCCCGGGCUCAACCUGGGAAUUGCAUUCGAGACUGCGUGGCUAGGGUGCGGAAGAGGGAAGCGGAAUUUCCGGUGUAGCGGUGAAAUGCGUAGAUAUCGGAAGGAACACCAGUGGCGAAAGCGGCUUCCUGGUCCAGCACCGACGUUCAGGCACGAAAGCUAGGGGAGCAAACAGG